rnacentral:lncRNA from 1 species
AGUUUUAAAGACUAUUUAGAUGCCUGUUUUUAUACGUUACCUGAAGGAGAUCUCAAGGAUCAAAGGUUGGACAUCGUGCGGAAAUGUGUGGAUUACCUGAUCAUGCGCUACGGGUACAACCCAUCGGUAGAGCAGAGGGUCAACGCUGCCAAGAAAUUGUAGUGCUGUAUCCACGAUUUCGUAAUCAAGAUCCGUCGUCAAAGGGAUAUGAGCACCUAGCCGAUCCUGACAAUUACGGGGCUGGUUUUAUCUCGAACAGAUUCAAGAAUGUCAAAAGGAAUGUUCUCAAGAAAGGUAUGAGGGUAAAAAAAAUCUGGAGGAAGACUAAAAGAGACAGGGACUCUCUUCCAGCGAAGCUCACGGCACGAGACGUUUUCAUCGAAGACGAGGAAUUCCUUCGUGCCAUCGAAGUUUUGAAAGCGGCCGCACCAACCAAAGAUUUACAAUCCAUCAUAGACACAACUCUUAAAUUUGCUCCCUCUAUCCAGAGAUACAUCGAGGCGAACGCAUCUACCAUGGACUUGGAGGCAACCUUUCCUCGCUUCUAUGACGUCAAAAACUUGAUUGCUGUAUGUUUUGAUCAAUUAUUCCCGCAUUGCUCUGGUGUGAGUAUCCAAAAUUGGUGGAAUGAAUAUCGAGCCGCUGUAACGGUCGUUCUUCAGGAAUCUUCGCACACUGUGCAAAGUGCGUACGGCGAGACUUUCAAAGACUGGUCGGAGGACAUCAGAACUUUCAUCAACUUGGCUUUCUUGUUUCCAUCGCGCGAGAAACGGGACCUGAGCCAGUCGGAAGGGCGCUACGAAGAGCGAGUCGUCGGGGGUCUCAUCAGAUUCAACAAAAGCGGAGUCCCGCUCACCGAGUGUCUGUCCGCCGUCCAGAAAAGGGAACCCUUCAUCCUAGCAGAAGGAACCUCGAAAGCACGAAUCACGAAAUUCUUCGUCGUCAUCGACAAGCACCCGGUCGUCGUGCCCGAAACCAGUUUCUUCGACGCAAUCGACAUCAUGUUCAAGAGCUAUUUUCUCUUCUCGAUUCCGUUUAACCCAGCCGUUAAGUUUUUCCUCCGCUUUCUAGACUGUUACGUGUAUAAAGCGUCUCUGAAUACGGCCACGAGUCAAAUGAGGGAGGUUUACUCUAAACUUCUUUGCAAGAAGGACGAACACCUCAUGGUUGAACCAUGA